CUGUACUGUACUGUACUGUACUGUACAGUACAGUACAGUACAGUACAGUACAGUACAGUACAG
rnacentral:miRNA from 1 species